rnacentral:rRNA from 1 species
GACGAACGCUGGCGGCGUGCUUAACACAUGCAAGUCGAACGGAAAGGCCCUGCUUUUGUGGGGUGCUCGAGUGGCGAACGGGUGAGUAACACGUGAGUAACCUGCCCUUGACUUUGGGAUAACUUCAGGAAACUGGGGCUAAUACCGGAUAGGAGCUCCUGCUGCAUGGUGGGGGUUGGAAAGUUUCGGCGGUUGGGGAUGGACUCGCGGCUUAUCAGCUUGUUGGUGGGGUAGUGGCUUACCAAGGCUUUGACGGGUAGCCGGCCUGAGAGGGUGACCGGCCACAUUGGGACUGAGAUACGGCCCAGACUCCUACGGGAGGCAGCAGUGGGGAAUAUUGCACAAUGGGCGGAAGCCUGAUGAAGCAACGCCGCGUGCGGGAUGACGGCCUUCGGGUUGAAACCCGCUUUCGCCUGUGACGAAGCGUGAGUGACGGUAAUGGGUAAAGAAGCACCGGCUAACUACGUG